rnacentral:rRNA from 1 species
UACGUAGGGUGCAGGCGUUAAUCGGAAUUACUGGGCGUAAAGCGUGCGCAGGCGGUUUACUAAGACAGGUGUGAAAUCCCCGGGCUUAACCUGGGAACUGCGCUUGUAACUGGUAGGCUUGAGUGUGGCAGAGGGGGGUGGAAUUCCAGGUGUAGCAGUGAAAUGCGUAGAUAUCUGGAGGAACACCGAUGGCGAAGGCAGCCCCCUGGGCUAACACUGACGCUCAUGCACGAAAGCGUGGGGAG